GAUGAACGCUGGCGGCGUGCCUAAUACAUGCAAGUCGAACGCGCCGAGAAGGGAACUUGUUCCUUUCAACGCGAGUGGCGAACGGGUGAGUAACACGUGGGAAACCUACCCUUCAGCGGGGGAUAACCAUCGGAAACGAUGACUAAUACCGCAUAGUUGUUCCAGUCGCAUGACUGGAAUGGGAAAGACGGCUUCGGCUGUCACUGAAGGAUGGUCCCGCGGUGCAUUAGCUAGACGGUGGGGUAACGGCCUACCGUGGCUUUGAUGCAUAGCCGACCUGAGGGGGGGAGCGGCCACAUGGGGAGAGAGCCCCGGCCCAAACUCCUGGGGGAGGCACAAGUAGGGAAUCUUCCGCAAGGGACGAAGGUCGGAGGGAGCAACGCCGCGUGUUGAAAGAAGGUCUCGGAACCGUAAAGCAGUUUGACCAGAGAAGAAUAGCCUAUAGAGUAACUGUUAUGGGUUGGACGGUAACUGAUAAAAAAGCCACGGCAAACUACGUG
rnacentral:rRNA from 1 species